GCUGGGUGUGGUGGCCCAUACCUGUAAUCCCAGCACUUUGGGAGGCUGAGGUGGGUGGAUCACCUGAGGUCAGGAGUUCGAGACCAGCCUGUCCAACAUGGUGAAACCCCAUCUCUA
ensembl:misc_RNA Metazoa_SRP Metazoan signal recognition particle RNA